rnacentral:rRNA from 1 species
AUUGAACGCUGGCGGCAGGCUUAUCACAUGCAAGUCGAGCGAGCGGCGGACGGGUGAGUAAUGUCUGGGAAACUGCCUGCUGGAGGGGGAUAACUACUGGAAAGGGUAGCUAAUACCGCAUACCAUCAGAUGUGCCCAGAUGGGAUUAGCUGUUAGGUGGGGUAAUGGUUCACCUAGGCGAAGAUCCCUAGCUGGUCUGCGAGGAUGACCAGCCACACUGGAACGGAGACACGGUCCAGACUCCUACGUGAGGCAGCAGUGGGGAAUAUUGCACAAUGGGCGCAAGCCUGAUGCAGCCAUGCCGCGUGUAUGAAGAAGGCCUUCGGGUUGUAAAGCACUUUCAGCGAGGAGACGUUACUCGCAGAAGAAGCACCGGCUAACUCCGUGCCAGCAGCGGCGGUAAUAC